AUGAAACGAGAGGUUUUCUCCCUUUUAUGGUAUGCUCAUGAAUAUUUAGAUGAGCUGUGCGCUGAUUGGUUGGUUUACAACGAGCGAAGCUGCGGAGCAAACGCGUCAUGGCCACAAGCACUCACUCACUGAAACAUCGAAAUUGUUGAUAUGGACACAUUAGGUGUUGAACCAUAUAUGUAUGAGCCAGAAUCAGAGGAAGAAUCUGAUGUAGAGGAGCAACCAGUCGCCCAUAGAUUACAAAUGACUACUUCAGAAUGGUGUACGUGUGGAAACUAUGACCGCAUGCCCCAGGAGAGAGAAAAUAUAUGUUGCCGGGAAGUACCCCAGGUCAUGAGAAGAAUGACCCAGGUUCCGGAGGAGAUAACCUGUAUGAUUGACCAUCCUGGCCUUG